rnacentral:lncRNA from 1 species
GAAUUUUUGUUGGUUCUUCAAUCCAAAGUUUGACAUUGAGUAAAAUAAAGACACUACCAGAACAAAGUUAUUAUAAAAAUGAAAAAUUGAUUUGAGAGAGAUUACCCCAACUCAAUACAUCUUUUACGGGUGUGGUAGACUUGGGUAGUUGUGUUUUAAUCAAAGGUUUACAACUUUUUUUCAAAAAAUUAUACGAGGUGAGUUUCCCUUUUUUCUACAAGAAAUUACAGGAGAAGAGUUUGUAGUUUUCUCCAUAGUAAUAGUAGGUUGACACGCCUACGUGUUACCUACACUCAUUUGACACGGUCCAGGUAAGUUUUUUGAAAAAAAAAAUUGUUCAGUAGACGUGGGUAAAAGGGGAAAAAGAAAAAUAUGGCUUUCGGUCUUCUUUUGCUCCUCUUUCAAAAAUCACAUUUAGGUUUUCUUUCUUUCAAGACGCAUUGUUCUUCAUCAUUCUUCGUCGGUGCUCUUCUUCAUCGUCUUUCAUUGGCACCCUUGAGCUGCUUCAAUCGGUGGUGUGUUUGAGUUAGGCUUCUAAUCGCUGCAUUCUCUGUUUUUACAAGCUGAUUUUCUUUGGAAGGUAAUAACAGAGAAAUAAUUUUAUUUAAUCUUUGGUCUUUGAGUGAGAAACUGCAUUACCUUGAGUCCUUGGUACCUUCCAAGCAUGAGAAUGGUGGCCAAUGGGUUUGUGCCAGGUGACAAAGUAAGAUGUAAAAAUGUAUAGUGGUUGAACUUGAGAUGACAAAGUCUCUUCUCUCAAGUCAUUAGACACACCUACAAAAACAAUCAUUUCUUAGAAUAUAAAAGUCAGGUAUUUUGAUUGUUCAAAAUCAUUAUUCUAUACACUGAUGUCUAUCUUUGGUCCAUAGAAUGCUUCAUCCCCUUCAUUCAACUACAAGGUUUUACACAAAUAUAAGCACAAAGAUAGUAAAGCUUACAAAUGUCAUAUUCCACAGAAAAUAAUAAAACAUUAUGAAAAUAAAAAAUGGAGUGUGUAGGUGUGAGUGAAAAACCUUCACCCAUAUCAACAUAAAGAUGAAGAGAACAAAUGGGUGUUGUCAUAAACAAAAUGAAACUGCCAACAUAAGCAAAUUAGAUGAUAUAAUGCAAAAAGGAAUCAAGGGCGGACUGGAGGAAUGAGCCUGUAGUAGAGCAUUUCGUGUUUUCAAAACUAAAUCAAAAACAAAACUCUCUGUCUCACGCCCUUGCCCCUUUACUCUAGGGUUUUCGAAAAUGAACAAAAAAGAAAACGAAAGAUAGAGAAAUGAUGAGAAAAGAAGAAAUGAAUUGAAAGGGGACAAACCUCAUAUGCUUCGCACUUCGUCGGUUCGAACUCUUCUGAUCAUCGAUCACGUACAGCCUGUGGCAGCUGUACUUCUCUGUUUUUUUUUUCCUUUGUUGCUCUCUCUCUCAACCCCAAUCAGCUCUCACCGAAACACAUCGCAAAUGACAACUUUGCCCUUAAUGACAUUCAGAAUAAUUGGGUCCCACCCCGUGUCAAAUGAGUGUCGAGUGUCGUGUCAAAGAAUUGUUUUCCUUUUCUCCAUGAAAAAUUGCA